UGGCUCAGAACGAACGCUGGCGGCAGGCCUCAAACAUGCAAGUCUAGGGGGUGUAGCAAUACAUCACCGGCGGACGGGUGCGUAACACGUGGGAAUAUACCUUUCGGUACGGAACAACUGAGGGAAACUUCAGCUAAUACCGUAUACGUCCUAACGGAGAAAGAUUUAUCGCCGAAGGAUUAGCCCGCGCUCGAUUAGCUAGUUGGUGAGGUAAUGGCUCACCAAGGCGGCGAUAGAUAGCUGUUCUGAGAGGAAGAUCAGCCACACUGGGAUUGUAUCUCACGGCCCAGGAUCCUACGGGAGGCA
rnacentral:rRNA from 1 species